CAUUAGAUGGCUGAAUAGUUUAAGCAAUGAAAUUUUAAAUCAUUUAAUAGUAAUUAACGCCUACUUCUAAUGA
rnacentral:tRNA from 1 species